rnacentral:rRNA from 1 species
AUUGAACGCUGGCGGCAUGCCUUACACAUGCAAGUCGAACGGCAGCACGGGGGCAACCCUGGUGGCGAGUGGCGAACGGGUGAGUAAUACAUCGGAACGUGUCCUGGAGUGGGGGAUAGCCCGGCGAAAGCCGGAUUAAUACCGCAUACGCUCUAAGGAGGAAAGGGGGGGAUCUUUCGGGACCUCUCGCUCAAGGGGCGGCCGAUGGCAGAUUAGCUAGUUGGUGGGGUAAAGGCCUACCAAGGCGACGAUCUGUAGCUGGUCUGAGAGGACGACCAGCCACACUGGGACUGAGACACGGCCCAGACUCCUACGGGAGGCAGCAGUGGGGAAUUUUGGACAAUGGGCGCAAGCCUGAUCCAGCAAUGCCGCGUGUGUGAAGAAGGCCUUCGGGUUGUAAAGCACUUUUGUCCGGAAAGAAAACCCCGGCCCUAAUACGGUGGGGGGAUGACGG